rnacentral:lncRNA from 10 species
AAUGAAUCUUCAUUUUUACAUAAGAUAAAAUAAACACAGAGUAGAGGACGCAAAUAUACAUUUGUCUCAGGUGAGGGGAGGUUUGACUUCUGUUUCUGUCUUUGUCUCAUACCUAUAAAAAAUAAGCUGUUGCUUUACAUUGACAGUGUGAAAUUCAACAGAUCUCUGUCUGGACAAAUAUCAGACAUAGGGUCUGAUAUUGGAAUAAAGAUAGUGGGACCCACAGGGAAUUUUCUUGUGAGCAAAUU